AUUGAACGCUGGCGGCAGGCCUAACACAUGCAAGUCGAGCGGGGUUUUCGGACCUAGCGGCGGACGGGUGAGUAAUGCGUAGGAAGCUACCCGAUAGAGGGGGAUACCAGUUGGAAACGACUGUUAAUACCGCAUAAUGUCUACGGACCAAAGUGUGGGACCUUCGGGCCACAUGCUAUCGGAUGCGCCUACGUGGGAUUAGCUAGUUGGUGAGGUAAUGGCUCACCAAGGCGACGAUCCCUAGCUGGUUUGAGAGGAUGAUCAGCCACACUGGAACUGAGACCGGGUCCAAACACCUACGGGAGGAAGCAGUGGGGAAUAUUGGACAAUGGGCGCAAGCCUGAUCCAGCCAUGCCGCGUGUGUGAAGAAGGCCUUCGGGUUGUAAAGCACUUUCAGUAGGGAGGAAGCGUUGUGUGUUAAUAGUACACAGCGUUGACGUUACCUACAGAAGAAGCACCGGCUAACUCUGUGCCAGCAGCCGCGGUAACAC
rnacentral:rRNA from 1 species